CACCAACUAGCCGAAAGCAUCGCCGCUCCCCGCCGCCCGCCGACGCGACGUCGCCUGCCCCUCCUACCCAUGCGACAAUGUUGCUCCUCGGCUCCUCCCCGCGCGACACCGCCUUCCCCAAGAGCGCCCACCCUGUCGUCCUCCUACUCCUCAGUGCCUCCUUCUCGCCUGCCCGCAACACCUUGCCUUGCAGCGGCGCCUGACACACGCACGACCCACACUAGAGCACGCCGCCCCUCGCUGCCCGGUUUUCUUCUUUUCCGUCGCACUGUGCGAAAUCUGCCCCAUGCUCGGUCUGGAUCUACAUAAGCGACUGAGAGAGAGAGAGAGCACAGCGAAGACGCACACUGUGGAUUGUGGAAGAGGUACGUAGGACAGCACCCCUCUGUGUUCUUCCUUUUGGGUCUACUUUCUCUCACACACAUGUGUAUCUGUAUUGAUUCCCUGUAGGAAGAGAACAUGCU
rnacentral:lncRNA from 1 species